rnacentral:rRNA from 1 species
GACGAACGCUGGCGGCGUGCUUAACACAUGCAAGUCGAACGGUGAAGCUCCAGCUUGCUGGAGUGGAUCAGUGGCGAACGGGUGAGUAACACGUGAGCAACCUGCCCCUGACUCUGGAAUAAGCGCUGGAAACGGCGUCUAAUACUGGAUACGAGAAGGGUCCGCAUGGGCACUUUCUGGAAAGUUUUUCGGUUGGGGAUGGGCUCGCGGCCUAUCAGCUUGUUGGUGAGGUAAUGGCUCACCAAGGCGACGACGGGUAGCCGGCCUGAGAGGGCCACCGGCCCAAGUGGGGAUGAGACACGGGCCGAACUCCUAGGGGAGGCAAGGGGGGGGAAAAUUGAACAACGGGGGAAACCCCAGAGCCAGCACGCCCGCGGGGGGGAGGCGGCCGUGGGGUUGAAAAACGUUUUCAAAGAGGAAAAAGCAAAAGGGAAGGGGCCGGCAAGAAAACCAGCCGACAAAAAG